rnacentral:misc_RNA from 1 species
GAUGAAGAACGUAGCGAAAUGCGAUAAGUAAUGUGAAUUGCAGAAUUCAGUGAAUCAUCGAAUCUUUGAACGCACAUUGCGCCCGCCAGUAUUCUGGCGGGCAUGCCUGACCGAGCGUCAUUUCAACCCUCGAACCCCUCCGGGGGGUCGGCGUUGGGGAUCGGCCCUGCCUUUGGCGGUGGCCGUCUCCGAAAUACAGUGGCGGUCUCGCCGCAGCCUCUCCUGCGCAGUAGUUUGCACACUCGCAUCGGGAGCGCGGCGCGUCCACAGCCGUUAAACACCCAACUUCUGAAAUGUUGACCUCGGAUCAGGUAGGAAUACCCGCUGAACUUAAGCAUAUCAAUAAGCGGAGGA